GCAUAUCAAUAAGCGGAGGAAA
rnacentral:rRNA from 1 species